UUAUAGAUAGCUCCCAUAGUAUUAGUAUAGUAUUAAGUAUAAUUUUAGUUUAGGUUGGCUUAACCAAAGCAUACAUAUUCUCAACCAUUCAAUUAUCAGAUUUAAGUAUUACAAUUUAUAGAUUAUUUCAGAUAUGUAUAUAUGCUUGGUCUUGAAUUCUCAGUAUUUCAGUUUUCUUGCAUGUUUACUUAGUUAUCUCAUAUUAUUUAGUUAGUCAUUA
rnacentral:lncRNA from 1 species